rnacentral:rRNA from 1 species
CCUACGGGUGGCAGCAGUGGGGAAUAUUGCACAAUGGGCGCAAGCCUGAUGCAGCCAUGCCGCGUGUGUGAAGAAGGCCUUCGGGUUGUAAAGCACUUUCAGCGGGGAGGAAGGCGUUAAGGUUAAUAACCUUGGCGAUUGACGUUACCCGCAGAAGAAGCACCGGCUGACUCCGUGCCAGCAGCCGCGGUAAUACGGAGGGUGCAAGCGUUAAUCGGAAUUACUGGGCGUAAAGCGCACGCAGGCGGUCUGUCAAGUCGGAUGUGAAAUCCCCGGGCUCAACCUGGGAACUGCAUUCGAAACUGGCAGGCUAGAGUCUUGUAGAGGGGGGUAGAAUUCCAGGUGUAGCGGUGAAAUGCGUAGAGAGCUGGAGGAAUACCGGUGGCGAAGGCGGCCCCCUGGACAAAGACUGACGCUCAGGUGCGAAAGCGUGGGGAGCAAACAGGAUUAGAUACCCCAGUAGUC